AAAAUGGUAGUUUUACCCAUGUACAUCUCUAAAAAUCACACAGCAGAGACCAGGAGGAAAUAUUUCAGGUCUCUGAAUGUUUGGCAGGUAGUAAAUUUCCUCAGCUCAUUGUGUGUUUCUGGCAGGAAACUGUCAACUCUUUCGGAAGCUGCCUUUGUUUGGGCCCACCAUCAAAGACUGGGAUAUCCAGCUCCCUCCCGCACACCCCUCCCCUCCUGGGGAACAGCUAAGCCUUUCCCGCCUCCCAACCCCUGUCCUUUCAAAAUGAGUGGUAACGACAACAAUAAAAGCCCAGACUCCUUAAAUCUCAGGGGAGAGCGGAGAUGUGAAAGAAGGUCUGCUUUAUGUACACCUCCAAUAAAAAAGAUUUAUAGGCAGUCACUGAAUGCCUUCUCUGAGCAGGCUGUGAGUUGGGCGAUGGAGGUGUGGAAUGGAAAGACCAGACCUUCCCCAGGGAGUCCCAAACAUGGGGUGGAGAAGCCAUAGCAUAAGGGGGCGAUGAAGAGUGCCCUUUGAUGCAAAGCGCGUCCUACAUAGCUCUUUGAGGUGAACGCAUUCGUCGAAGGUGCCUGCUGUGAUGCCUAAUAGCACGACUGAAUCACAAUUUUAAGCGCCUGUAGUUCAUGGGGGGCAAAGCAAGAGGACCUCCAGGUCCUCCCGAGCACCUCAUCAAAGAUCUCCCAAGACCCCGUUUAGGCGCGCAAGCUCAGAAUCUGUGACUCUGGGGGAGACUUGGUGAAUCAUGUCCGUCCCUGGGAACGGAUCCAAAUGGAAUUAAUGCUACGCCCGGGUCUCGGCUACACACGCGCGCUGGGGUGCCCUCGUCUUCCUAAAAGGCCUUCUGGAGCGAUCUGGUUAGACAGCCAUUUAGACACGUCUGUCUGGGAGGUGGUUUGACCUAUGGUGAGACUGUCAAACGCAACAAAAACAUUCUGACAUUUUAAGAGCUUUAAUUUACUCGCGCUAAAAGCCGCAGCAUCUGAAUAUGUCAAGUUUACGAGGCAGAGACUUUCCAGCCGGAAUUUGUACCUCCCCUAAUGCGAGGGCAUGUCAGGGAGUUGAUUGACUUGUCCAAGGAGUGCACCGGGAACGGACCGGGAAGAAACGGAGGAAGCCGCUGCAAAACUCCUCCAGCGGGCAACUUGCUUUGCGCGUGCGUCUGUCACUCUCAGGUUGGGUUACAUGGGGAAUUAAACAAUUGCCAAGGUGAUCCGAAUGGAUGCAUUUCAGAGGGCCCCGCGGGGCAGCACCCAAGGGGCUGCCGUCACUCAGGCGGUGGAGGGGAGGAAGUCCGGGCUUCGGAGCCAAGUGGGCUGGGGUGCGUUGCUUUGCUCUGCUGUGCUGUGGGCCAGCCGGAGCGAGAGACCAGGGACGGUUCAUCCUGGGCUUGGCUUUCUACUCUCACAUGCCACACAGGAACCACACAGCCCCG